CACAGGAAUUCGGGAGAAACCGGUGACAAUCCGGGGCCGAAGGAGCAGCCGCCCCGGCGAACUCUCAGGCAAAAGGACCGUUUUCCCCAA
rnacentral:ncRNA from 2 species